rnacentral:rRNA from 1 species
ACGUAGGGAGCGAGCGUUGCCCGGAAUUAUUGGGUGUAAAGGGUGCGUAGGCGGGAUGCCAAGUCAGGCGUGAAAUGCCGCAGCUUAACUGCGGAGCUGCGCUUGAAACUGGCAAUCUUGAGUGAAGUAGAGGCAGGCGGAAUUCCUAGUGUAGCGGUGAAAUGCGUAGAUAUUAGGAGGAACACCAGUGGCGAAGGCGGCCUGCUGGGCUUUAACUGACGCUGAGGCACGAAAGUAUGGGGAGCAAACAG